rnacentral:rRNA from 1 species
GAGACAGCAGUCGCCACGGGAAUACGGAGGGUGCAAGCGUUAAUCGGAAUUACUGGGCGUAAAGCGCACGCAGGCGGUCUGACAAGUCAGAUGUGAAAUCCCCGGGCUUAACCUGGGAACUGCAUUUGAAACUGUCAGGCUGGAGUCUUGUAGAGGGGGGUGGAAUUCCAGGUGUAGCGGUGAAAUGCGUAGAGAUCUGGAGGAAUACCGGUGGCGAAGGCGGCCCCCUGGACAAAGACUGACGCUCAGGUGCGAAAGCGUGGGGAGCAAACAGGAUUAGAGACCCGUGUAGUCCCUGUCUCUUAUAC